rnacentral:rRNA from 1 species
AGAGUUUGAUCCUGGCUCAGGAUGAACGCUAGCUACAGGCUUAACACAUGCAAGUCGAGGGGAAACGAUAGAGAAAGCUUGCUUUUUAUAGGCGUCGACCGGCGCACGGGUGAGUAACGCGUAUCCAACCUGCCCAUCACUUGGGGAUAACCUUGCGAAAGUAAGACUAAUACCCAAUGAUAUCUCUAGAAGACAUCUGAAUGAGAUUAAAGAUUUAUCGGUGAUGGAUGGGGAUGCGUCUGAUUAGCUUGUUGGCGGGGUAACGGCCCACCAAGGCGACGAUCAGUAGGGGUUCUGAGAGGAAGGUCCCCCACAUUGGAACUGAGACACGGUCCAAACUCCUACGGGAGGCAGCAGUGAGGAAUAUUGGUCAAUGGGCGAGAGCCUGAACCAGCCAAGUAGCGUGCAGGAUGACGGCCCUAUGGGUUGUAAACUGCUUUUAUAAGGGAAUAAAGUGAGCCUCGUGAGGCUUUUUGCAUGUACCUUAUGAAUAAGGACCGGCUAAUUCCGUGCCAGCAGCCGCGGUAAUACGGAAGGUCCGGGCGUUAUCCGGAUUUAUUGGGUUUAAAGGGAGCGUAGGCCGGAGAUUAAGCGUGUUGUGAAAUGUAGAUGCUCAACAUCUGCACUGCAGCGCGAACUGGUUUCCUUGAGUACGCACAAAGUGGGCGGAAUUCGUGGUGUAGCGGUGAAAUGCUUAGAUAUCACGAAGAACUCCGAUUGCGAAGGCAGCUCACUGGAGCGCAACUGACGCUGAAGCUCGAAAGUGCGGGUAUCGAACAGGAUUAGAUACCCUGGUAGUCCGCACGGUAAACGAUGGAUGCCCGCUGUUGGUCUGAAUAGGUCAGCGGCCAAGCGAAAGCAUUAAGCAUCCCACCUGGGGAGUACGCCGGCAACGGUGAAACUCAAAGGAAUUGACGGGGGCCCG